GGGAGGCAAUGAUAGAGACAGGAGACAGCCAAGGGUCCCCAGCAAAACCACACCUUCAAUCCUAAAACAGCCUGAAGGCUGAGGGACCGGACUGCUGGUCCCAGAUGAAACCUACAACCCAGAGGGAGAACUGCCCCUGUUUGCCCACCCUUUCCUGACUAGUUCUUUCUGAAUAAUGCCUACUUGCACACUGGGAAAAUGGGGCGGAGCCAUAGGAAGUUCAUGCCUUAUGCCAGGGGAGGAGGCCGGUCUUUUCAGCUUUUGUGUGUGGUGGCCUGGUAUUCAACCUGGGAGGUAGGGGCCCAUUAGCAGGAUGCCUUGUCACUUUGCUCAGUUUUUUUUUUUUUUUUUUCCUUUUCGCCAAUGAAUCCAGCCCUCCUCAGCCUUCAAUGUGUCCAUGUGCCUAAUUUCUCCUGGUUGUGACACAAAAACCUGGAUUUAGCUAAACUAAGGAGCAAAACUUCUACAUCAGUUUGGUGGCACAUCUGGGGAUCAAGGAAGGGUUUCUGAUAUCUUUGAAGAUUGUGACACUGGAAUAAAGGAAAACAUACAGGACUCAUGAAGAGCUGACAUGUUCGUGAAUAUCAAGCAAAACAAGAGUUAAUGGAAUGGACUGAACUAAUAGAAAACUGAAAUAAUCUUUUUUACUUUUGCUUGGAACACUGCUGAUUCUCAUUUUGUUUUUCAGACUCAAGGAAGCUUAUUUUGAACUAUUUAUGGCCUUUAAUAAUUGAGUAAGGUAAACUCCUGUGAACAAAAUUUGGAGCAUCUCUCUCUCUCUCUCUCUCUCUCUCUCUCUCUCUCUGCCUGGCUUCUCCAGAAUUUAGAAACUAGUUGUGAGUAUUCUUAACUUAUGGCAAUAUAGUUAUUUGCAUCAGUGCAAUAAGAAUCCCUUUUCUUUUGCAACAUGACACAAUUGUAGAAACUGGUUGUCUUACCAAGGCUUUGACUGGAAGGGUGUGCUUCCCUUUAAGGAGUGAAGCUCAACUGGUAGAGCCAAUAAAAGCCCCUUGGGAAAACUGGCCUCACACCUUGUCUACACAGUCCCUGUACAGGGUUCCUGACUUGUGAUAAGUAAAGAAUGUCACUUUCUGACAGGCCCAAGAGCUCCAACUUUAUCUCAGGACCUUAAGAGGAGAGGAUCACCCAACUCACAGGUAUUUGAUGGUACAAACCCAUGGCUAGGCUCGGUUUUAGAAAGAUUGAAAUUUCUUGUGGAUCAGAGUUCCAUCAAGGCCAAUCUACCAGGCCUAUGUAAAAAUAAUUAUUUUUGCUGUACUUUAUGCAAACAAUCAAGCCAAGUAUAAGACUAAAGUCUAUUCUGCAAACAACUCAGUCCUAUCAUGGUUUGUUUUUAACAGAAAUGAGGACUGGAAACAGAGAAAUUAUGUUUCAAAACUUAUCAUACAUUUGUCAUUAACUUCUAGAUUCAUUCGUUGUUUUCAAGUUUUUGCCUACAUUUUAGACUGACCCUGCUAAUUCCUGUGAACCAUCCAGUAUCUCCAACUAUAGCUCAGAAGGAACAAAAUGGCAUGGAUAAUCUGGAUCAAUAUUUUAACACUAGCAAUUAUCCUGCAGACCCUGCGGGGUGAUGGGAAUAAAUAGAGCGCCCAUCAGCCGGAGGUUUCCUUUUGGGGAAAGACCAAGGGAGCUAACCACAGCCAAGCCACAUGCACCCAAAUCUUAGCAAGCAUAACUACAGCCACCAGUUAUCAGGGUGUGUCACAAUACAUCCUUUUCUCUCCCUUGUUAGAGGAGCACUCAAUUCCACAGCUUCACCUUAGUAUUCAGCUUAUGAUAAGGAGUCCAUGCAAUGCCCCUAAGACACAUUUUUGUCCCAAACUCAAUUCCAAGCUUCGGGUCAAAGUCCUAGGAAAGAAAACUGGAUCUGAGGGAUCCAGAGGCAGACAAUAACAAAAGUUAAAAGACACAGUGCAGGUAAGUGUGACUGAUUCCUGUCAACUAAGCCAAGCUUCCCAUUUCACAGAUAAAGUUCAUGCUAGUAUCCAUGGCAUAAAUGAUGUCUAGGGAAUUCAAAGGCUACUGACAGCACAGGAGAUAGGGCAUACAUGGGUAAGAGUGAAUAUUCCCAGCCCCUAGGCCCCCGUUAACAUGGAUGGAAGCCACUUUAGCACCCAUGGGCAACACACUGUCACAGUCACUGGGACUCAGGGAUACAAGGAUGGAGGAAAGGAAGAGGAGAGGAACACCUCACUUUCCCUCAUGUACUGUGGGUAUUUGCUAGGAAGAGAAGGGAACCUGGGAUGCCUCGCUCUCUCCUUUCUAAAUGAGUAGCCAUUCAUCUUCAGUCUGUAUCCCUUUCAAAUGCAUCCUGAACCCCUGGGACUCCUUUAGAAAAAACACCUUUUUUUUUUUCCUCCUCUGUUAUUUCUUCACAGAUACGUAAUCGUAUCUCUGCACUAUGGGACACUUCCCUUGGCUACAUCCUCUAAACUGGGAAAAGUUAAUUUCCCAAACCUUAAACUGGUUGGCUUAGGAUUGGGCUUGGGGAAGGGAACCCAGAAGCCUCACAUGCCAGCAAAAGGGUAAAGUUUUUGUUAUUGUUGUUGUUUUUAUCAGCCAGGCUUUUGGCUUCCCUAUCCCUAUGCAAACUGAUAAAAGGCCUCAGGAUUUUUGAGCUGUCCUUACCCUCCCCUUGUUUUGUUUUGAUACCUGUUUUCUAAUAACCCAGUUUGUCUCUUCUUGCCUUCAGGACAUCAAACUCGAAACGGUCAUACAACCAGAGCCUCAGACAAUGGCCCCUUUUGCCAGAGACCCUUAGAUAGGCCUCUGUGGGAGUUCUGACUGCUGUCUUCCCAAAACAGCACCCCCUGCCAGAAGGAAGCAGUUAAGAUUGAUAUUUGUCCUCAUCCUUAUGCUUAUCUAAUGGCAAUUAGAUGUACUUCUUUAGAGAAGAGCGUGAUAGAGGAGACAGUCAACAGUCACUGGCAAACCUCACCUUCAAGCCUAAAACAGCUCGAAGGCUGAGGGACUGGACUGCUGGUCCCAGAUGAAACCCUCGACCCUCAGGGAGAACUGCCCGUUUGCCCACCCUUUCCCAACUGACUCUUUCUGAAUAAUGCCCACAUGCACACUGGGGGAACGGGGUGGAGCCAUGGGAAGUUCUCACCCUGUGCAGUGGGGAGGAGCCUGGUCUCUUCAGCCAAUGUCUGUGGUGGCCUGCUAUUCAAUCUGCGAGGUGGGUCGGGGGGUUCCCUCUGUUAGCAGGACCCCCUCUCACUUUGCUGAGUUUUUUUUUUUUCCUUCUCACCCAAUAAAUUCAGCCCUCCUCACCCUUCAAUGUGUCUGUGUGCCUAAUUUCUCCUGGUCAUGACACAAGAACCUGGAUUUAGCUAACUAAGGAGCAAAAAUUCUGCAUCCGCAACACAGGUUUAGGGUCUUCUAUUUUAAAGGAUCAGGGAAGCCCUCUAACAAGAUGACAUUUAGGCAGACUGGAAUAGAGGAAGCCAACCAUAUAGAUAUCUGGGAGGAGAGAGUUCUAGCAGAGAACAGGUAGUACAGACUACAAGGUGAGACUAUACUUGGACUUUCUCUGGAUAGGAACAAAACAGAAAGAGUACAAGCAAAUGUGGGUGAUGAAUCAUAGGCAACAAAGAGACCAAAGGUGCAGAAGGCCAGAUGACAUUGGGUCUUGUAGGUCACAGAAAAUAAGUACUUGGGAUUUCAUUCCCAGUGAGAUGGGAAAUCACUGGAAAACUUUGAUCAGGAUGUGAUGUGAUCUUAUUUUUAAAAGGAUCACUCUGGAUGUUCCAUUGAGAGCACACUGUAAUGCACAGGUGAAAGCAAGAAGGCUACUGCAAGUCUGGGGAAGUUCUCAAACUUGACUUGCAUCAGAAGCACCUGUGAUUUGUUAAAUCACAGAUUAAUCAUACAAAAACCUGUACACAAUUGCUCACAGCAGUUUUGCUUGUAACAGCUAAAAAUUGGGAGCCCAGAUGUCAUCCUUGUACAUCCAUCCCGUGGAAUACUACUCAGCAAUAAAAAGGAAAAAACUAUUUUGAUAAAUCUACAGAGAAUUAUGCUGACUGAAAAAAGCCAAACCCAAAAGCUGUCUGAUUCCAUUUAUAGAACUUGCUUGACAUGACAAAAUUAUAAAAGUAGUCAACAGAUUUCCUGGUUGCCAGGGGUUAGCGGUAGGGGCAGGGUAGGAGGAGAAAGGUUGACUAUAUCCCACCAUACAAGGGAUCCUUGUGGUGAUAGAUGUUCUUUCUUGACUUCAUCAAUGUCAAUAUCCUGAUGCUGACCACAGUUUUGCAAGUGUGAAAGGAAAAUAAAUCUUGGGACACCAAAAUCACUAAGCUAAAGGGAAAAGUCAAGCUGGGAACUGCUUGGGACAAACCUGCCUUCCAUUCUAUUCAAAGUCAUGCUUCUGUCCACUGAGAUUAACAUAUAUCUGAUUGACUCAUUUGGAAAGGCUAAUCAGAAACUCAAAACAAUGCAGCCAUUUGUCUCUUAUCUACCUGUGACCUGGAAGCUUCCUACCUCACUUCGAGUUGUCCCACCUUCCUGGACCAAACCACUAUUUAUCUUACAUAUAUUGAUUGAAGUUUUGUGUCUCCCUAAAAUGUAUAAAAACAAGCUGUGCCCCAACCACCUUGGACACAUGCCAUCAGGACCUCCUGAGGCUGUGUCACAGGUGCACGUCCUUAACUUUGGCAAAAUAAACUUCCUAAUUAACUGAGA
rnacentral:lncRNA from 1 species